rnacentral:rRNA from 1 species
CCUACGGGUGGCAGCAGGGAGGAAUAUUGGUCAAUGGACGAGAGUCUGAACCAGCCAAGUAGCGUGAAGGAUGACGGCCCUAUGGGUUGUAAACUUCUUUUAUCAAGGAAUAAAACGAGGCACGUGUGCCCUUUUGCAUGUACCUUAUGAAUAAGGAUCGGCUAACUCCGUGCCAGCAGCCGCGGUAAUACGGAGGGUCCGAGCGUUAUCCGGAUUUAUUGGGUUUAAAGGGUGCGUAGGUGGGUUGUUAAGUCAGUUGUGAAAUUUCGCGGCUCAACCGUAGACUUGCAUUUGAUACUGGCAGUCUAGAGUACAGUUGAGGUAGGCGGAAUUCGUGGUGUAGCGGUGAAAUGCUUAGAUAUCACGCAGAACCCCGAUUGCGAAGGCAGCAUACUAGACUGAGACUGACGUUGAUGCACGAAAGUGUGGGUAUCGAACAGGAUUAGAUACCCCUGUAGUC